GCCCUCCCCGUGACGUGCCUGGCCGAGGCCGCGCAAGGGCGCUGUAGCUGCCAGUGCCGCUGUCAUGGCGUCCGAGGCGCUGGCUGAAGAGAACCCGCCGCGGUCUCCUUAGAGCGAGGGGCUGGCGGCUGGGCAUGGAGAGCGGCCCCGAGAGCCUGCAGCCACUAGAACACGGGGUGGCCAUCGGGCCAACGCCAGGGACAGGUUCUCCGCAGGAAGGGCCACCGGAGACCAGGCUCGCCGCCGGAGAUGGUCCUGGAGUAUGGGCGGCGGAGAGCAGAGGCGGGAAUGGGCAGGGGGCGGCGGCCGCCGGGAGGAGCCUCUUGGACUCCGUUUCUCCCGCCGGCUCUCCUCAGGUUCCCAGACCCUGCAGCUCCUUUCCGGGCUUGGACUUGAAGGAGAGCGAUUUGGAGAACAUUGCUGCCCAGAAGGCGCCUCUGAGAGGGCAACACAAGGUGACCGCCUCGCCGGAGACCGCGGAGGCCGGAGCGGACCAUGGAUCGGGUCCGGCCGGAGACGCCGGCUGCCGCGCGGAUUCCGCCGGCACCUGCCGGGCAGAGUUGGCGGUCGCCGGCUCCGAGGAGCCUAGCAGCGCCGGCGGCCUCAGUAGCAGUUGCAGCGACCCGAGCCCUCCUGGGGAAUCGCCAAGCCUGGACUCCCUGGAGUCGUUCUCCAACCUGCAUUCUUUCCCCAGUAGCUCUGAGUUUAAUAGUGAGGAGGGAGCAGAGAACCGGGUCCCCGGGGAGGAGGAGGAGGGCGAGGGCGCGGCGGUGUUGCCCCGGGCUGUGCCUCUUUGCCGAGAAGAGGAGGAGGAGGGGGAGGAAGCUCAGGUACUGGCGGCCUCCAAGGAACGCUUCCCGGGACAAUCUGUCUAUCACAUCAAGUGGAUCCAGUGGAAGGAAGAGAACACACCCAUCAUCACUCAGAAUGAGAAUGGACCCUGCCCUUUGCUGGCCAUCCUCAAUGUUUUGCUUCUGGCCUGGAAGGUGAAACUUCCACCGAUGAUGGAAAUCAUAACUGCUGAACAGCUGAUGGAAUAUUUAGGAGAUUACAUGCUUGAUGCAAAGCCAAAAGAAAUUUCAGAAAUUCAACGUUUAAACUAUGAGCAGAAUAUGAGUGAUGCUAUGGCAAUCUUGCACAAACUACAGACAGGCUUGGAUGUAAAUGUAAAAUUCACUGGUGUUCGAGUGUUUGAAUAUACACCAGAAUGCAUAGUAUUUGAUCUUCUUGAUAUUCCUUUGUACCAUGGGUGGUUAGUGGACCCACAGAUUGAUGACAUUGUAAAAGCUGUUGGUAACUGCAGCUACAACCAGCUAGUGGAGAAGAUCAUCUCUUGUAAGCAGUCAGACAAUAGUGAGCUGGUUAGUGAAGGCUUUGUAGCUGAGCAGUUUCUAAAUAACACAGCCACUCAACUGACAUACCAUGGAUUAUGUGAACUAACUUCAACGGUUCAGGAAGGAGAACUUUGUGUGUUCUUUCGGAAUAAUCAUUUUAGCACCAUGACCAAAUACAAGGGUCUACUGUAUUUGCUGGUAACAGACCAGGGGUUUCUUACGGAAGAAAAAGUUGUUUGGGAAAGCCUACACAAUGUGGAUGGUGAUGGAAAUUUCUGUGACUCAGAAUUUCAUCUGCGGCCUCCUUCAGAUCCUGAAACCGUAUACAGAGGACAACAGGAUCAGAUAGAUCAGGACUAUCUUAUGGCAUUAUCUCUACAACAAGAACAGCAGAGCCAAGAGAUCAACUGGGAACAAAUACCCGAAGGAAUCAGUGAUUUGGAACUAGCAAAGAAACUCCAAGAAGAGGAGGAUAGACGGGCUUCUCAAUAUUACCAGGAACAGGAACAAGCAGCAGCAGCUGCUGCUUCUGCUUCUCCACAGGCCCAGCAAAGCCAGCCAGCACAAGCCUCUCCAUCAAGUGGAAGACAAUCUGGGAAUAGUGAACGUAAACGAAAGGAACCUCGAGAAAAAGAUAAAGAAAAAGAAAAGGACAAAAAUAGCUGUGUCAUUUUGUAACAAGUGAUUUCCUAUACUAGCAUGAUAAAUCAUCAGAGAACCUGUUUGGGGUAUAACACUUUGAUACAAAAUAUCUGAUCCACACAUCACAAGUAGGACAAUAUCAUAGAAGAAUGAUGUAUGAUUGCUCCACAGCAGUCAGCAAAAGGGAUAAUUGGAUAAUCUUCACUUGUGAAACUUCAGAAGUACCUGAAAGUCAUUUCCUAAAGUUAGUGCAUGUGAGUCUUUUUCCUUGAAUUGUGCAGAAUAAUUGGAUGUGGCACACAUUUUGGGGAAUAGGAAGUGAAAUGGUAUAAUGACUGCAGAGCGAGUGAUUUUGAAAUGUCGCAAGAAGAAACAAGUUUUCUUCCUCCACUUCACUGUCUGACUAUUUGGGUCAGGAAGUUGCUAUGAUAUACAGAUCUCUUUGUGCUAGGCCAAGAUUGGCCAACUGAAAUAGAGUUCUCAAAGAGUCUGAAUAUAUAGAUUGUGUAUGAGCACCUAUUUUAUCCUUUUCUUUACUAUCUUAAUGCCCUUUCUACUUCUGAAACAAUUCAUCCAUUUUGCUUCAUGACCAGCUUUAAUUCCAGUUUGAGAAUAAUAGCACCCCUAGAAAUUGAUACAAAACAGCAUUGAAAUACAUUUUUCAAAUGAUACCUAAAAGCAUCUACCCAGCUUAGAAUUGAACUGAAUUUCUAUGAAAGAAAGUUAUUGUUUUAAAUGCUA